rnacentral:rRNA from 1 species
CAUAACCUUUAGCCCAACCAAUAUUAAAGGCAACGCCUGCCCGGUGAACAAUUAAACGGCCGCGGUACCCUAACCGUGCAAAGGUAGCAUAAUCAUUUGUCUACUAAUUAUAGACCUGUAUGAAAGGCAAAAUGAGGGUCUAGCUGUCUCUUAUAAUAAAUCAAUUAAACUGAUCUCCUAGUAAAAAAGCUAGAAUUAAACCAUAAGACCAGAAGACCCUGUGAAGCUUUAACUAAACUAUUAAACCCCCUAAUAGCUACUUUCGGUUGGGGCGACCUUGGAAAAAAAAAGAACUUCCAACAAUACGACCUAACUCGUACCACCAAUCAGGCCUACAAGCCACAUAACGACCCAGCAAAGCUGAUAAUCGAACCAAGUUACUCCAGGGAUAACAGCGCAAUCCUCUUCAAGAGCCCAUAUCAAAAAGAGGGUUUACGACCUCGAUGUUGGAUCAGGACAUCCUAAUGGUGCAGAAGCUAUUAAGGGUUCGUUU